rnacentral:rRNA from 1 species
AUUGAACGCUGGCGGCAUGCCUUACACAUGCAAGUCGAACGGCAGCAUGGAGAGCUUGCUCUCUGAUGGCGAGUGGCGAACGGGUGAGUAAUGCAUCGGAACGUACCGUGUAAUGGGGGAUAACGUAGCGAAAGUUACGCUAAUACCGCAUACGACCUGAGGGUGAAAGCAGGGGAUCGCAAGACCUUGCGUUAUACGAGCGGCCGAUGUCAGAUUAGCGAGUGGGUGGGGGAAAGGCUCACCAAGGCGACGAUCUGUAGCGGGUCCGAGAGGAUGAUCCGCCACACUGGGACUGAGACACGGCCCAGACUCCUACGGGAGGCAGCAGUGGGGAAUUUUGGACAAUGGGGGCAACCCUGAUCCAGCCAUGCCGCGUGAGUGAAGAAGGCCUUCGGGUUGUAAAGCUCUUUCGGCCGGGAAGAAAUCGCACAGGCUAAUACUCUGUGUGGAUGACGGUACCGGCAUAAGAAGCACCGGCUAACUACGUGCCAGCAGCCGCCGUAA